UACGUAGGGUGCAAGCGUUAAUCGGAAUUACUGGGCGUAAAGCGUGCGCAGGCGGUUCGGAAAGAAAGAUGUGAAAUCCCAGAGCUUAACUUUGGAACUGCAUUUUUAACUACCGAGCUAGAGUGUGUCAGAGGGAGGUGGAAUUCCGCGUGUAGCAGUGAAAUGCGUAGAUAUGCGGAGGAACACCGAUGGCGAAGGCAGCCUCCUGGGAUAACACUGACGCCCAUGCACGAAAGCGUGGGGAGCAAACAGG
rnacentral:rRNA from 1 species